rnacentral:rRNA from 1 species
CCUACGGGAGGCAGCAGUGAGGAAUAUUGGUCAAUGGACGAGAGUCUGAACCAGCCAAGUAGCGUGAAGGAUGACUGCCCUAUGGGUUGUAAACUUCUUUUAUAUGGGAAUAAAAUGUUCCACGUGUGGGAUUUUGUAUGUACCAUAUGAAUAAGGAUCGGCUAACUCCGUUCCAGCAGCCGCGGUAAUACGGAGGAUCCGAGCGUUAUCCGGAUUUAUUUGGUUUAAAGGGAGCGUAGGUGGAUUGUUAAGUCAAUUGUGAAAGUUUGCGGCACAACCGUAAAAUUGCAGUUGAAACUGGCAGUCUUGAGUACAGUAGAGGUGGGCGGAAUUCGUGGUGUAGCGGUGAAAUGCUUAGAUAUCACGAAGAACUCCGAUUGCGAAGGCAGCUCACUGGACUGCAACUGACACUGAGGCUCGAAAGUGUGGGUAUCAAACAGGAUUAGAUACCCUAGUAGUC